rnacentral:lncRNA from 1 species
UAAUUACUCUCUUGAUUCAACCCAGAAAAUGAAGAUCUCUCUUACAAAGUUUAGGUUUUUCACAAAAGAGGCAAAGGAAAAACAAAGAGAAUAAAGCUUAGUCUGCUGGAUAAUGCCUAAAACAUAUAUAGGUAGGGUUUCUUGAUGGGCCAACCUAGGACAAACUAGGUUUUGGCCCCAAAAAGGCCCACAAAAACGUCAUGAAGCGAGAAUGUAUCGAGGUGAUUUUGACCGGUGCAGGACGUCGAUAUUUCUUCGAAUUAAAUGAAAGAGUCUCGGGAGCCAGGAUGCAUGCGGAAAUCUGAGAGUGGUUACACCGAGGCGCUACACCGGCUGAACUCACCUCGGUGCGGUGUUAAGGAUAGCUUCAGGGGAUCAAUACCGAGCAGGAUAAUUCUUCGGAAUUUCGGCUUCCAAAAGCCAUCCAAAAUCGUCAAGGUUCCAAGGUAAUACCGACAAGAUUUUGGUCGGUACUCCUUCUCGAUGUGAAUGUAGACCGCUUGCACCAAAUCCUUCACAACUCCUUGCCCACUGGUUCGAACCUCUAUCUUCCACUUUCAAGAACUAGAUGACGUCCUUAGCUCCAAGUUUGGUGAAGGGCUCAACACCGUAUGACAUUGGCAAAGCCCCCGUCUCGUAAGUUCUCUGAGGCGCAUCUCGUAAGUUCUGAUCAGGCCGCGAGACAUGUGUUCCUUCCGAUGGCGAUAUCUCUCAGUUCACGGCUUGAAUCGUCUGAUUCCAAGUGUUCCGGAAACUAGACUCAUUCGUUUUGAUUCUUGAUGAAGACACCGGAGACUGAAUCGCAGUGAAAGCCCUUCAUCCCACGCGAUCAAAGUAGAGGUUUCGUCGGCACCAAACCAUCUGUCCGAGUUGCUGUACAUAGGCGACGGUUCCUCCGUGAUCCCAGCUCCAAGUUGCUCCCAAAAGUCUCCAAAUGACCUGACAAUAAUCCAAAUAUGCAGGACACUCUAGGACCUAAUGCAAUUCUUAAAUAAAGCUAGAACCAAAGACAAACUCUAAUAAAACUAGCUAAAUGCAUGCAUGAGACUCAAUAUUUGGACAAAAAUGCAAUCCAAAUCAUGACAAAAUAUGAGUAUAUCAACUCCCCCACACUUGUCCUUUGGUUGUCCCCAAGCAAACAAUAACAAAUGAGAGAGAGAGAGGUUGAAUGCAUGGGAGUUCAUAUUUCUUUAAAGAGAGAUCAUCAUUAAAAGAAUCUAAAGCUCAUUGUUCAAGUUAUCAAUUAUAGACUGCAAUGAAAACUGGUUUACUCAUAAAAACUAGCCAUACUUGUCACCAAAUGAACCAAACUCCAGCACCAACCUUCACAAGCAUUCCUAACCUCAACCUUUUGACAUUCAUUUAAAGUUUCAAGUGGAUCAUGUUCAUGCAAAUCAAGUGAAUUCAUUUGGCUUGGGACUGGAUUUUGAGAUUAAAAUGAUCUCAAUCAAGUAACUGGUACUCCAUGCAAGGGGAUCACUCAAAAAUUAGUAGAUUUUAGUAGGGUAAAACACUACAAGAAAACACAGUUUUUGCAACCACCAAAAUAGUCCUAAAAUAGUCGCUAAUACGUUACUUACGACUACUCUAAGACUAUCAAAAGUGGUCGCAAAUCUUUCGUCGCAAAAUAUAAAGGUUGCAUAAUGGUCGCAAAUUUCCGACUAAUAUGUGACGACGUUUUAUCGUCGUAUAUAAGCGACAAUGUUGACAAUGAAACUAUUAGUCGUUUAUAAAAGACUAGAUAGUGACGACGUAACUUUAGCGACUAAUUUUCGACACUUAAAGAUGUUGUAUAAUCACGACUCUUUGGAACAAUUAUUUAGUCGCUGAUUUGCAACGGUUUAAUGACUAUAUAUAUGUAGCUUCGAUCUAAACAAAAACUUUAAAAUUAGUCUCACAUUAGUGGCAAAUUGGUGCCUAAUAUUUGCGACUGAUUUAAGACCCCUUGUUCACAAGUUGGUCGCAAAAGAGUCACUUCUUAAUUAUUACCAAAAAACUGCAUACAUUACAUAAUAUCUCAAUACAUAUCCCAAUUAAAAGAAAAAAACAUAUCCAAUCCAAAAUUACAUACUAGUUUUGAGAUGGUGAGGCUGAGGAAUCAUUUGAUUCACUGGCUGGUGUAGUUGUUUGUGCAGAGGUUGGUGUUUUGGCUGGUGCAGCGGUUGGUGUUGUGGCUGUGGUGGCGGCUUGAGAAGCCAUAAACGAUGCAAACGCAGGACCCUUAUCUUUGACGUAUGAGUGAGAAGAGCAACUCCAAGCUUGAAAUCCGAGUUUGACCAACUCGUGCCCAGCGUGCCUCCUCGUCACGUCGAGCGUUUUGAGCUUCUUGUUCGGCGAUCUUUUGACGAGCCGUUUAAAGUUGUUCAUGCACCUCUAAAAUAGAUGAGGUGGUAGAUAGGACUUUUUAGGUCUCAGGGCUAUCAAUCCCCUUUGUCGAAGUAGCACAAAGAGGUAUCAAUCCAGACAAGUCAACGAGACACUAGACUAUGAUGUUUGUUCAUUUAAGUCAAGACAAAAGGUGAAGGUUUCGAACUAAGCUAAGUGACAAACGACUAAGCAUGAAAGGUAAAUCAAAUGAUUAGAUCUAAACAGAGACAGGAUGCAAAUAAUAGCUAAACGAUUCAGAUGAUGAUAAUAUGUAAUAAAGCAAGGGACUUUAGACGAGAUACUUGAUUCGGGUGCUUCCAAGUUCAACUAGUUGGUUAAUGAAUCAAAACAUCAAGCGGUUUCAUUUAACUUUGAACUCAAGGCAUGUUAAUCUUCUCAUGAAAGUAUUAAGCAUCUAAACUGAUUCUCCUUCAUACCAAAAAUGUCUUUUGAGAAGCAUCGAAUCAAUCAGCAAUAAGAGUCAGUUCAAAAAUGUCAUUUAAGAGAACAAACUAUCACUCUCGCGAUGAAAGACUCUUAAACCCAUAACCGAGUGGUUCAGACAUUUCUACAAACACUUUUGAUGCAAGAUAUGUCUCAGAUCUGAACCUCAAGUGAUGUGCUUGGAUCCAGCCUAGAGAUCUCGUCGGUUAAGGAAUGAAACAUGCAAGACUAGACACCUAAACCCACUAAUCUACCUUGAAAGCACCCUAAUCUACUCAUCUAAAGCCGCUUAAACGACUACUCACUAAUCAUAACGAGCUCAUUAAGUCUUUUGCAAGACGUGUAGCUAGUCAUGAUGAGGAGUUUAAUGAUAGAUGACAAAAGAAAAUAAAGAAAGAACAAGAUUUCUGAUGCAAAAACGAGAUAUCAAAUUAGAAUCAUCAAGUUUUACCAAAGAGGCAAGUUCUUAAAGCUAAAAACAGAUAAGAGAUCAGAUCCUUAGGUUUUUAGUCUCAAAAUGUAUAUAUAGCAAAGGUAAAGUGUCGCGGGUCAGCCCGGAACAAACCGGGUACUGAACCGCGUUCUUGGGCUGAUGGGUGAGUGCCACGGUGUGUCGGAGAGUGAAGCCGAGGUCUUCAUGUCGAGGAGCGCACGUGAGUCCAGAUCCAAAUGAAGAUCUCGUGAAGAACACGUCAAGAACAUGCAUGAACCCUAGUCUUUGAUCCAUCUUCACGUGUGUGUUUUUGAGCAGCUUUGUUCUUGAUCCUGCACUUGUGACAAUGGACCUCGGGAUAAAAUGCUGAGGCGCUUGGACGUCGAGGGGCUCGGGAGAACAGGGUCCGGCAUGCACGCCGAGGUCGCUACACCGAGGUGCAUGUUCAACACUUAGUCGUUUCCAGCUCCUUUCUUACGUGUGCAUGCCUUGAUCCCAACGUGCCGAGGUAUCUGUACGAGGCCUAGCUCAGGAUACUUCCAAAAUAUGAGCCUCGACUUGGCCGAUGUCGAGGUAAUGAUGCCGAGCUCUGAAGAAACACUUAGCGCGUAUCGCAACAUAUUUGGGCCCGUAUCGACCAUGUCGCCUUCCGGCGGCAGUAACUUUCGACCCACGACUCCGAAUGCUCUGAGACCAGUUUCAUAGUUAAGGUGACUCAAUAAACUCGAACUUUGGUGAAGAAACCGUCGGAGCUUGGGUAAUGGAAGUCUUCCUGGACUUCACAUCUUUGAACCGCAUCGAAAUCACCGGAAAAUAAGCUGUUCAGACCGAUGUGAACUCCGGAGACUUUAUCUUUCAAACCACUCGUCCGAGUUGAGCGAUCCCUACUGUUCUGAAAAGGUCUUUCACAGAUCUCAAACUUUGAUGAAGACCGGGUAAGCUGAUUUGGUCCAGAAAGGCUCCGUCCGCCGUGACCUUUGUACUUCGCCGUUCAGUUCUCGGAUGCGCGUAAUGUUGAUGUAUCUUCCGGAAGCUGUAUCUUUCUCCCUACUGGUCCGAAUUGGAUGAUUCUAACUGUUCUGGGAUCUUUGUUUUAUUAUCUCCAACUUUGCUGAAGACCCCGCCAACUGAUUCGGACCGGAAGGUUCCCCGGAUUUCUGAUCUUUGAAUUGCGCAGACAAGGACAGAUUUUGGUCGAGAAAGGCUUCCCGCGGUAAGAAAAAUGACCGAGGGCUGUGUACCGCGGUGAGCUUUUUGGUCGUAAAAAUUCUUUCGCUUCGGCCAAAACUCGACCCGCGGUAUUAACGCCUGAUCUUCGACCCAGGCUGACUUUGGUCAAUCGGUACGGACUUUGGUCGGUGCUGAACGAUCGGUAAGCUUUUUGGUCGAGGUUGGACGAUCGGUAAGGAUUUUGGCCGAUAAUGAGCGAUCGGUAAGGAUUUUGACCGAGGUUUCUGUCCGUCCGGUACGCGAUUUGGCCGAGAAAUUCCUCCAAGCGGUUUUCACCAUUUUUGACCGUUUUCUUCACCGUCUUCUUCUCUGCUCCUCUUCUUAAGCUCCAAAUGACUCCCAAAGCACCUGAUAAAGACCUCAAAACAUGCAAAACUCUUUGGGACCUAAUGCAAGCCCUAAAUCCUAUUUUCAUGCCUAAAGACUCAAUUUACAUGGGAAAACACAUGAUGAGGACUCUAAAAUGCACUCUAAAUGAUGUAAAAUAUAGACAUAUCAACUCCCCCACACUUGUCCUUUGCUUGUCCUCAAGCGAAGAGAACAAAUGAGAGAAGGAGGUUGUAAUGCAGAUGGAGCUCAUAUUUCCUUUUUAGAAAGAAGUGAUCACAAGGAGAACUCGGAUUCAUGCUCAAAUAUGCAACGUAAAGCCAUACUCAGAUAUUCUACAAUUAAAGCACAGAAUCUCCACAAGUCAUUAUCACAUUCAACUCUUUCACAUUCAUUAAGCUCGUAACCGGUGAAUCAAAUGAUGCAAUGUUCAAAUAGGCUGGCUUGGCUAGGGUAAGGUCAUGAGAUAAAAAUGAUCUCAUCAAUAUUCAAGCGGGUGUAAUGCAACAAUGGGAUCACUCAAUGAACGACCAAACUUUGGCAGAAUGCUAAAGGUAAAAAGCAACCGAUGCAUACAAGGGCAAGACUCAUCACACCCCACACUCCACUCAAAGCUUUUCUUAUUUGCUCACCCUCUCAAGAUCCUCACUCUCUCAAUCGCUUUCUUUUUCACUAGGGGACUCACUUUUGUUUUGAUUUUCAAGCCUUUGGUGUUUACUUAUUCAAACAGCUCUUUUCUUUUCUUUUUAGAACACUUGAGCCUUUUUGGCUUCUUUUCAUUUCAAAGACUAUACUUUUCUUUUUAGAACAACAGAGCUCUUCUUUUCAAAUUCAAGACUCGAUUCUUUUUCAUUCAUUCCCCUAGCUAUCUCCAUUCUCUCUUUUUCUCUCAGCUCACCUUUUUCCACUCACCAAUAGAUCUUUUCCCCCACACUUAUUUCUUGCCAAUACUCUCAGUUCCUUGAUGUUGGAACGUAGCACUCAAUGAGACAUGCCCUUGUCGCUCUAAACCUAACACUUUCUGCUAAGUUCAGUCCAAGGUGGCCUUACAAUUCACACACAAACAUUGGCUCGAAAAGAAAGUUGGGUUCAAGGUGAGGGAACUGAUCCAUGAUGCGGAUUCAGCUACUUGAGCAAAGGAAAAGAGGGUGGUAAAAACAAUGAUUCUAGCUCAAGUAUGUAUAUCGGUAUCCACAAGCCAAUUCAAGCAAUGCAUCAAAAGAUAUUUACAAUUCAAGUUCAGGGUUAUCACUUAACUAGAGUUGAGUGUAAUUUAGACCUGCUUCACAGAUUCAAAUCGUUUCAAGCUUUACAAGCACAGAAUGAGUUUCACAAGCAUAUUUAGUUCAAGUUCUCAAGUGAUUUAUUUUCUAGGAAAAAAUCUAUCAUUGCUCCUUGCAUUGAUGCAGUCCUAAAUGAUGCAACUAGACUCGAUCUUAGAAUGCGAGAUGCAACUAGAAUGUUAAUGAUGCGGUUUUUUUCCAUAUGUACAAAGCUAAAUGAGACUCAAGAAUGCAAAAGUCAAAUAAGAACAGAGAAAACAAGAUCAGAAAACACAAAGCUCCUCCCCCACACUUAAACAACACAGUCCUGUGUGUUAUAGAAGCGUGUGAGAGAAGUAAAAAGACGAACUAAACGAAUGCAGAAUGAUAUACACAAGAUGCAUAUGUACAGGGUUUGAAGUCGAUACCUUAGUCGGAGAGGUCUGAUCCCAAGUAGUACGAGGGAUUUGAUGUUGAGCAGGAGGGUGUGGACUGACGUGGCGGGCUGCUAUCCGAGGGUUCAGGUAAGAAUGCCAAGGCAGGGUUGAUCCAAUCCUCUUUGCCUGGUGGAAACUCCGGGUUCCUUGCGUUUGAGCUUUCCCCAACCUCCUCCUGUGUAACUGGUGCGGUUGAGGUCCCCGAGUUCAUGUCCGGAGAAGAUGGCCGUGUCAGCUGCUUGACCUUCUUCUUCAGGUGCCUUACACAGUCCACCAACGCAUGAAUGGUCUUGUCUUGCCACUUACACCACUUUUGGAGAGUGUUCACUCGCAAAUACAGCUUCUUGGUGUGGUAUUCAGGCUCACCCCACACGUAUGGAUCAAAAUGAUAUCGGCCUGCUCCCAUCCUUCUCUCAGGGUGCCGUUCUUCUUCAUUCUCACAUCCGGCCGGGCCGUUCUCGUUUUGAGGCUUGUUAGGUAUGGCCUUGGUGCACUUGCGCAUUGGUGGGCCGAGAGAGGGGUUGUACAACUGAUCCUUGAGGACAUAGAAGGAGAUGUUACACUGCUUAUCAAGCAUGGUGAGGCCUCGGUUAGGCAGUAGAACUUGUGUACCGUCCCUGUGCAUCAGCGUGAAGUUGUAAACCCAUCUAUCCCCUGACUUGCCUCCAAAGAAACCGCUUUUACUUAGGUAUUGCUCAUCAAUGAGAUUCGGCCUUGAUGGUGAAUCAGGGAAUAUGAACCCUUGAGCUCUCAAAAUUGUAGUGACAAUCCAACCGUUCUGAAGCCUCCUUGCUCCCUUUUUCUUCCGGUCACACCACACAUUGUGUCUAUAGGUGAGCAUUUGGAUCGCAAAGAAUGCUCCUAAAGACGGUACAUGCAUUGGCCCUUGGUACUCCUUUUUAUUCUUCAUUUGAGUGAUGAGCGGCUUAAGUCCAAGUCCUAACAAUUCAAGCUCUGCCGUGUGAAUGACACCAGGGUUGUAUGUAGAGAAGAACGUAGAGGCCAGGACCCGGUUGGUGUAUCUGAUUGCAGGGUUCCUGAUGCAGCUUGUCUUGCUUUUGCCUCCCAAGUAAGGCCCAAAAGAUAUCGUUUCCCACAACGCGGCCAACUCAUCACGAGGGUACACAAACUUGUCAAGCGAGCUUCCAUUCCUUUCAAAUCCAAAUAUCUCAUCAAGCUCCUUGAAACUGACCUUGUAGUGCACGCCUUCUAUGUCAAACUCUAUGUGUCCGAAUCCUUUGCCAUGUAGACGCUUGGGAUCUCUCUUGGGGUAGAUGACAACCUCCAAAGUGGCAAGAAACUGUUGUGUGAUCCCCUCGUAAGCAACAUCGCUCAUCAUGAAGAAUUCGGCCAAGCCCAUGUUUUGAAAGAUGAGUGUAACAUCAUCGAGUAUCUCAAGCUUCUUCAACAGCUCCAUAUCAGGGAACCGACCUUGAGCUACUCGUAUAGAGUUAAAGUGGUCCAAGUACUCCUCAGUAGUCGGGAAAUGUUCUUCCUCGGGCUCGGUCUUUGGUUCCUUCUUGGCUUUCUUGGCAUGGUCGGGUACAUGGGGAACUAUGGCUCUCAGCUCAUCUCCAUCGAUCUCAGUGGCUGCCUGCUCCCCAUUCCUUUUUGGUUCAAGGUUUGGAACCAGAGUGAGCUCGGCGUUCCUUGCUCGCUUGGCGGCUGGCUCACCAUCGGAUCUCACGAAGGGUUUCUUGCUUGUUCCACCAUUGCGUGCUACGGCCACGGCUUUCCCUUUCGUGCUCCUCCUCUAGACCUCAUUUUUGUUCGUCUCAUGAGUGGGAACAGCUCGGUCGCCGGUCAUCUGCAAGACAGAUCCUCAAAGAAACCGUUAGAAUCAAGUACAACGACAAGCACAGGUUUCUGAAGAUAGCAAAGACAGAGCUUUUUCUCUAACAAGAUCAUAGUUAUAGCUUUGUCAUACAUCAAAGAGAGAAGUAAGAACAAGCCAGAACAACCGAUUAGAGACAAGUUAUCAAGACAUUUCAGCUCAAGUACACAAAUCAUCAUUAAGACCGAUUUCAAGCGCAUUUUCUCAAGAAUUUUAAAAACUCAAGAACAAGUGAUUUUCAGAUCAAAAACCGGUUUUUCUUGUGUUGUCUAUCCUGAUGGAAUUUUUAAAAUUGUUCCCAGAGGUCGAUAUGUUCUAAAAGAAUCGAUUCCACAUUUUACAAACUUAAAAGCUCGCAAAGAAUGAAGGAAAAAAGAUGAGUUCUUUAAGAAGCAAAUACCUUUGGGAAUCCAAGAUUCAAGUUUAGUGGAAUGCUUAUGAUGAAUAGACAACACCCUAGCGAGUCUAGAACGCUUGGAAUCACAAGAAAUGGAUGAGAAAUGAGAGAGAUAUGUUCGUGAAAUGCAGAGAAAAGAGAGAAGAAGGCGAACUCUCGGUUUUGGCUCGGGAUGGAGGCUGGUAUGGGCGGUGUCGCGCUUUCCAGCUGGCGCUUGGACUGUAGUGGGACUGGUCCCCCCUUCUCCUCCAGCUGCGACCGUUGACCCGCGCCAAAACAGCUUUGACCGGGCGUUUAAAUUCAAAUUACCGCGCAAAGGCUUCCAAAUGGCGCGACUUUGGAAUGACGUGAGCCGUACGGACUAGAGUGGUUUUUCUCGUGUUCUCUUGAGCGGCCUCGACUUGUUCUACCUCGAGGGCACUAAGCCGAGUGGGCUAAGUUCAAGUUAACAAGAAUUUCCCCGCGGCCUUCAAAUCUUUUCCUUAGUCCGUGCAAACCUUCUUCUUUGACUCAAGUGUCCCAAGUGUUUAUGUUUUUGAUUGUUCUUGAAACUGGGCACCUCGGUAUGCUCCACCACGAGGGUAUCAUGCCGAGGUCACUUGUUUUUAACAGAGAACACUUGGUGCUGGGGUUUAAACGGUCCUGCCUUGGUGUAAACUGGUCGCGGCCUCGAUCGAGGUUUUAGACCGUUUGAAGUGAACUUUGCUCCUCGGUAUAAUCAUACCGAGGUGUUUACACCGUGGGCCUCCCCCACACUUAGUCAUCUCACCACAUAACUUCUUAAGCACGGCCACGGUGAAAUUAAGUCGAGGAGUUUAGCUGAGGUUCUCAAGCUAUUACUCGGUAAAAGGUGAUCGCGGUAUGUAUAUACCAAGGGUCGAUACCGAGGCUACGUACACUCUAGGACUUAAUUCAUCAGGCCAUGUCAUUUUCGAGCUUUUUCUUAUUCUCAUCAUCAAGAUUCACCAUCUAACUCCUGAAACACUUAACAAAACCUUCAAAAAGCUUCAAGUAAAAAGAAAAAGAAGAUGAAAAACGAAAUAUUUACAAGGAUAAGCUUGGGGUGUCUCCCAAGAGCACUUUGUUUAUCGUCACUAAGUUUGACUUUCCAUACCUUUUCAGGAUGAUUCUGGUUCAAGAAGAGGAACUGAGGUAGCUCCCUCUCUUGUUUCUGAUGCCAGGUAGUGUUUUACCCUCUGACCGUUUACUACAAAGCCUUGUCCAUCUUUUCCUUUCAAAACAACCGCUCCAUAAGGCCUUACUUCAAGAAUUUCGAAUGGACCGGACCAUCUGGAUCUCAACUUCCCAGGGAAUAGCUUGAGUUUCGAGUUAAACAGCAGAACUUGGUCUCCUUUUUUGAACUCUCUCUUGUGUAUCUUCUUGUCAUGAAGCGCCUUGGUCCUUUCCUUGUAGAUCUUAGAGCUCUCAAAAGCAUCUAACCUGAUUUCCUCAAGCUCAUGAAGCUGUAAAACCCUCUUCUCUUCUGCAGUCUUGAUGUCAAAGUUCAGAAGUUUCACUGCCCACAAUGCUUUGUAUUCCAACUCAACCGGUAGAUGACAGCUUUUCCCAUAGAGCAAGUUAAACGGUGAGGUUCCAAUGGGGGUCUUGUACGCGGUUCUGUAAGCCCACAAAGCAUCAUCAAGUUUCUUGCUCCAAUCCUUCCUAGAUGAGCUCACGGUUCUUUCUAAAAUAGCCUUUAUCUGUCGGUUAGAGACCUCCACUUGACCACUAGUCUGCGGAUGAUAAGGUGUGGCCACCUUGUGCUUUACUCCAUGCUUCCUUAAAAGACUCUCAAGAGUCUUAUUGAUAAAGUGGCUUCCCCCAUCACUGAUUACUACUCUUGGAACUCCAAACCGUGGGAAAAUGAUACUUUUGAAAAGCUUUACCACCACUUUUGAAUCGUUAGUUGGGGAUGCAACAGCCUCGACCCACUUGCUCACAUAGUCCACCGCGACAAGGAUGUACUGGUUUCCGUUUGAACUCACAAAGGGACCCAUGAAGUCAAUGCCCCAACAGUCGAAGACCUCGACCUCAAAGAUUGGGUUUUGGGGCAUCUCAUUCCUCUUGGAUAUGUUACCGUGCCUUUGACAAGCCUCGCAUCUCGAUACCACAUCUUGAGCGUCCUUGAACAUAGUCGGCCACCAGAAGCCGCUUUGCAAAAUCUUGGCAACCGUCUUGAAUGCACCUAGGUGACCACCGUACACUGAACCGUGGCAUUCUUGUAGCACCGGAUGGAUCUCUUCUUCGGCCAAGCAUCGCCUAUAGAGAUGGUCCUUGUUAAGCACGUAAAGAUACAGCUCAUCCCAAUGAUAUCUCAUCACAUCUCUAAAGAACUUUUUCCUCUGAUAGGCAUCAAGAUCCGGUGGCUCUAAACCGCAAGAUAGGUAGUUCACAAGAUCCGCGAACCAUGGGAGGCUUCUUUCCUUGAUCGUGUUGGCCUCUUCCACCUCUAAGUAAGACCGUACCAGCAUGAGAUGUUCCUCAGGUAAAGCAUCGUCUAUGGGGACCUUUUCUUCAAUCCUCAGCCUUGAGAGAUGAUCUGCGGCCCCAUUUUCUAUGCCUUUCUUGUCAAGUAUUUCCAUGUCGAAUUCUUGGAGCAAUAGGACCCAUCUCAAAAGCCUCGGCUUAGCGUCCUUCUUAGACAUCAAGUACCUCAAGGCCGCGUGAUCAGUGUAGACCGUGACCUUUGAUCCCACUAGAUAACUCCUGAAUUUGUCAAAUGCAAACACAAUGGCAAGCAUUUCCUUCUCGGUGGUUGCAUACUUUUCUUGAGCUGAGUCCAAGGUGCGGCUGGCAUAAUAAAUCACAUGGAGUUUCUUAUCUUUCUUCUGCCCCAAGACAGCUCCCACGGCAUAGUCAGAUGCAUCAGUCAUCACUUCGAAAGGUAAAGACCAAUCGGGAGCUUGUACAAUUGGUGCACUGAUCAAAGCCUCCUUGAUCCUCUUAAACGCUUCCUCACACUCUUCAUCAAAGAUAAACUCCACCUCUUUGCACAAUAGCCUAGUUAAAGGCCUAGCUAUCUUGGAGAAAUCCUUAAUGAACCGCCUAUAGAACCCAGCGUGCCCAAGAAAGCUUCUUAUCCCUUUUACAGAAUUCGGAGCUUGUAGGUUCACCAUUACCUCGAUUUUGGCCUUGUCUACCUCAAUUCCCUUCUCUGAUACCUUGUGCCCCAAGACAAUGCCUUCUUGUACCAUGAAAUGACACUUCUCCCAGUUCAAUACAAGCCUAUGCUCCUCACAUCUCUUUAGAACCUGAGAAAGAUUAGCAAGACAUUCGGAGAAAGAGGAACCGUAUACGGAGAAAUCAUCCAUAAACACCUCAACUUUCUCUUCAAUUAGAUCAGAGAAAAUGUGCAUCAUGCAUCUUUGAAAAGUGGCCGGUGCAUUACACAAACCGAAAGGCAUUCUCCUAUAAGCAUAAGUGCCAUAAGGGCAAGUGAAUGUCGUUUUCUCUUGGUCUCUUGGAUCUAUUGGUAUUUGGAAGAAUCCAGAGUAUCCAUCGAGAAAACAGAAAUAAGGAUGAUUGGCUAAUCGUUCAAGCAUUUGAUCAAUGAAUGGUAAAGGGAAAUGAUCUUUUCUUGAUGCAGAAUUCAAUUUCCUAUAGUCAAUGCACAUGCGAUGGCCGGUUAUAGUUCUUUGGGCUAUGAGUUCAUCCUUAUCAUUUUUUACCACCGUGAUACCACCUUUCUUGGGCACAACGUGCACAGGAGAUACCCACCGAGAGUCAGAGAUUGGAUAUAUGAUCCCUGCCUCAAGGAGCUUUAGUAUCUCCUUCUUAACCACCUCUUUGAGGUUCGGGUUAAGGCGACGUUGGUGCUCAAUAGAGGACAUGGCUUGGUCCUCCAGGUGGAUCCGGUGAGUGCAUAUAUCAGGAGAGAUUCCUCUUAUGUCGGCCAAGGAAUACCCUAUUGCUCUCCUGAAUUUCUUGAUUUCAUUAAGCAAUGCACGUUCUUCAUGUUCAAGCAAACUAUCGUUUAUGAUCACAGGGAAAGUGGAGUUCAAGCCUAAGAACGCAUACCUGAGCCCUGUUGGUAGAGGCUUGAGCUCAACAGGGGGAGCGUCUGCCUCAUUCCAAUCGGUAUCAAAGCUACAUUGGCCCGGAACAGCUUCCUCGGCCUUUUCCUUGUUCUCGCGCGGAUUACCAUCGUCCUCGAUAUGAGUUGCCACGGCCAUGAUAUCCCGAGGUGUCUCCUCUGUUUCCAUGGACCCCUCGCUGUCUAAAAUGUCGAGGCCACUCUUUCUGAGCUCCAAGAACCUAGCCUCAGCUCCAAGUUCCUUCGGUUGGUCCAAAAGUUGCUUGUACACCUCGCUUUCCUCGUUCAAGUACCCGUGCUCGCUUUGUUCACGUGUAAGGACCACUUGUAACGGAUCCUCUGCGUUCAACUCUUCCAGGAGCUCAUCAGCUAGCUCCUCCAUCACUUCCACAUAGAAAACCUGACCUCCAAUAGUCGGUUUCUUCAUCAUCUCUUUCACAUUGAACUUCAUAUGCUCGGAACCGAUGUGUAGUUCAAUCAUUCCUCCUCUCACAUCUAUAAUGGCUCCUGCGGUCGCUAGGAACGGUCGGCCCAAGAUGAUAGGGUCCAAUGGUUCCUCGUCCAUCUCAAGAACUAUGAAGUCCGUGGGGAUUUCUAUCUCACCGAUCCUUAAAGGUAAAUCCUCAAGCAAACCCACCGGUAAGCGAACCGAUCUAUCAGCUAGUAUAAGAGAGAUCUUGGCCGGCUUGUAACUUUUGUAUCCCAAUCUCUUCGCCACCGUGUAUGGCAUUAAGCUCACAGAAGCUCCUAGAUCACACAAGCAGUUUGAGAACUUCAAGUGACCUAAAGCACACGGUAAGGUAAAGCUGCCCGGAUCGGAUAGCUUCCUUGGUAUAGACCUCCUUUGUAUUAUGGCGCUGCAUUCAUGGCUCAGUAUUACCAUACCCUGGAGCUCCUUUGUCUUGUUGAGGAUCGUAUCUUUUAGAAACUUCCCGAGCUGUGGUAUAGCUAAGAAAGCAUCUAUAAUGGGUAAGGUGAGUUGCGUGUUCUCCAAGUGUUUCUCAAAGACCGCUUUGGCUUUGUCUAAGAUUUUCUUCUUGAAACGCCCUGGGAACGGUAUCUUGGGUUGGUAAGGUGGUGGUGGAACGUAUGGCUUUUCAAGCUCAGUUGUCUUUUCCACCUCUUUUCCUUUGUCCUUGAUCGGUUCUUUCUCAAAAUCCGCUUCUUUACACGCAUCACCUGAGGCUGCCUCCCCCUCUGAUUGCUCAUUGGCCUCAAUGAGCGUAGUCUUAGGCGUUGGAGCUUGUAGUUCUUUACCACUUCUCAAUGUAAUGGCGUUCACAUACUCCUUGGGGUUUGGCUCCGGUUUACCUGGUAAAGCCGGGCCUCGGGAUGAUGUAGAGGCUUGAUUCUGCUUAAGCUCUCUGAUAUCUUGCUGCAUUGUCGCGUGCUGGCUCUCAACUCUCUGUUGACCCUGUAACAGUUGCUGUAAUAUCCCACAGACGUCGUUUCCCAUCUGAUUCAGACCCGUUCCCUGAUGCUGUCGCUGAUUACCCAUCGGCUGCGGAUUGAACCCUGGUGGAAACUUGUGAUGCUGCGGUUGGCUGGUGAAGUUGUUACCCUGAGCUGCUUGAUUCUGUUGAGUGUAGCCGUGCUGUUGCCCACUAAACUGUUGCUUGGGCUGGAAGGUAUUCUGAUAAGGAGCCUUUUGAGCGUAGCUUUGUUGUUGUUGCGGAGCAGGGUAGACUUGAUCGUGAGGGUUAGCUACAUUUGGGUUUCUGUAUGAGAGGUUUGGGUUACUGUUGUAGUUGUUGAACCGCUGAUACCUCUGCUGGUUCCCUAUGUAGUUCAGCUCCUCUUGAGUUAGACCAUCUUCGUUUACAUUAUCAAAACUUGGCCCUUGCUCAUCAAACUCGCCUACAAAGUGUAUUGGCUUUUGAGUCGCCAUCAGAACUUUGUCAAGCUUGCUCUGAAGCUCUCUGAUAUCCUUUUUCAUACGCUGUUCUUCACCAGAGCCCUCUGUACGGUUUGCUCUAUCAAAGUCGUCGCCAUAAGUAUCAUUAGACAUGGCUAGGUUCUCGACUAGUUCCAUUGCCGCAUUGAUCUCCUUCCCAAGAAAAUUUCCAUUUGAAGCUGUAUCGAGUUGGUUUCUGAUCUUGGGGAGUGCACCUCGGUAUAAAGUACUCAAGAGGGAUGCCUCUGAGAAGCCGUGGUGUGGGCAUUGGUUAGUAUAGCUUCUAAACCGUUCCCAAGCUUCGCUAAAGCUCUCGUUGUUGUGCUGUGUGAAGCUUGAGAUUUGGUUUCUGAGCUUAGCCGUGCGUGAUGUGGAAAAGAACUUUGAUAAGAACGCUAGUUUACACUGCUCCCAGGUUUGUAUAGAACCCCUCGGGAGGUUCUUUUCCCACUGGUGAGCUUUAUCACCGAGGCUGAAUGGGAACAAGCGUAGCUUGAAGCUAUCUUCCGAGACACCAUUGAUCUUAGUUAGGUCGCAAACCCGAUCAAACUGAUCUAGAUGCUCAAGAGGGUCUUCUCCGGCUAGACCGUGGAACUUUGAGUUCUGCACCAUGUUGAGUAGGGAAGCUUUAACUUCAAAGUUGUUGUUUUGAACCGGUGGAGCUUGAAUCCCAGCUCGGUAUUGGUGCGCAUUAGCUCGGUCGUUCUCUCCAACAAAGACCGGAGGAGGUUGUCUCUGAGCUUGUGGCGGUGGCGGAUGAACAUGGUGGGCUUGUUGCUCGUUUCUAUUAGCUUGUUGUUGGUUUUGCUGAGCAAGCCUUUCGUUCCUCUGAGCAUGUUGUUGGUUAACAUAAGCUUGUUGUUCAUUCCUGCCUGCCUGCGCCUGAUUAGCAUGAGCCUGGUGUUCGGCUUCGUGAGCCUGUUGCUCGAUCCUUUGCUGUUCUGCCAUUCCAAGUCGUUCAAAAUGCCGUUCCCUCUCGCGAGCUCGCCUCUCAAUCUUGUUGAUGUUGUCGUCGUACGGUAGAGGCGGUUCUGUGCUCCGAGACCUGGUUUUCAUGCACCUGAAAGCAACACAAGAACUUGCAAAGAAGUGAGUAAAACAAAGAAAGGUAAAAUCUUGAACUCAAGAACAAACAAAAGACUAAUGCUCCGACAAGUUGGCAACGGCGCCAAUUGAUAGUUAAGAGAUUUUAGGUCUCAGGGCUAUCAAUCCCCUUUGUCGAAGUAGCACAAAGAGGUAUCAAUCCAGACAAGUCAACGAGACACUAGACUAUGAUGUUUGUUCAUUUAAGUCAAGACAAAAGGUGAAGGUUUCGAACUAAGCUAAGUGACAAACGACUAAGCAUGAAAGGUAAAUCAAAUGAUUAGAUCUAAACAGAGACAGGAUGCAAAUAAUAGCUAAACGAUUCAGAUGAUGAUAAUAUGUAAUAAAGCAAGGGACUUUAGACGAGAUACUUGAUUCGGGUGCUUCCAAGUUCAACUAGUUGGUUAAUGAAUCAAAACAUCAAGCGGUUUCAUUUAACUUUGAACUCAAGGCAUGUUAAUCUUCUCAUGAAAGUAUUAAGCAUCUAAACUGAUUCUCCUUCAUACCAAAAAUGUCUUUUGAGAAGCAUCGAAUCAAUCAGCAAUAAGAGUCAGUUCAAAAAUGUCAUUUAAGAGAACAAACUAUCACUCUCGCGAUGAAAGACUCUUAAACCCAUAACCGAGUGGUUCAAACAUUUCUACAAACACUUUUGAUGCAAGAUAUGUCUCAGAUCUGAACCUCAAGUGAUGUGCUUGGAUCCAGCCUAGAGAUCUCGUCGGUUAAGGAAUGAAACAUGCAAGACUAGACACCUAAACCCACUAAUCUACCUUGAAAGCACCCUAAUCUACUCAUCUAAAGCCGCUUAAACGACUACUCACUAAUCAUAACGAGCUCAUUAAGUCUUUUGCAAGGCGUGUAGCUAGUCAUGAUGAGGAGUUUAAUGAUAGAUGACAAAAGAAAAUAAAGAAAGAACAAGAUUUCUGAUGCAAAAACGAGAUAUCAGAUUAGAAUAAUCAAGUUUUACCAAAGAGGCAAGUUCUUAAAGCUAAAAACAGAUAAGAGAUAAGAUUCUUAGGUUUUUAGUCUCAAAAUGUAUAUAUAGCAAAGGUAAAGUGUCGCGGGUCAGCCCGGAACAAACCGGGUACUGAACCGCGUUCUUGGGCUGAUGGGUGAGUGCCACGGUGUGUCGGAGAGUGAAGCCGAGGUCUUCAUGUCGAGGAGCGCACAUGAGUCCAGAUCCAAAUGAAGAUCUCGUGAAGAACACGUCAAGAACAUGCAUGAACCCUAGUCUUUGAUCCAUCUUCACGUGUGUGUUUUUGAGCAGCUUUGUUCUUGAUUCUGCACUUGUGACAAUGGACCUCGGGAUAAAAUGCUGAGGCGCUUGGACGUCGAGGGGCUCGGGAGAACAGGGUCCGGCAUGCACGCCGAGGUCGCUACACCGAGGUGCAUGUUCAACACUUAGUCGUUUCCAGCUCCUUUCUUACGUGUGCAUGCCUUGAUCCCAACGUGCCGAGGUAUCUGUACAAGGCCUAGCUCAGGAUACUUCCAAAAUAUGAGCCUCGACUUGGCCGAUGUCGAGGUAAUGAUGCCGAGCUCUGAAGAAACACUUAGCGCGUAUCGCAACAUAUUUGGGCCCGUAUCGACCAUGUCGCCUUCCGGCGGCAGUAACUUUCGAAUGCUCUGAGACCAGUUUCAUAGUUAAGGUGACUCAAUAAACUCGAACUUUGGUGAAGAAACCGUCGGAGCUUGGGUAGUGGAAGUCUUCCUGGACUUCACAUCUUUGAACCGCAUCGAAAUCACCGGAAAAUAAGCUGUUCGGACCGAUGUGAACUCCGGAGACUUUAUCUUUCAAACCACUCGUCCGAGUUGAGCGAUCCCUACUGUUCUGAAAAGGUCUUUCACAGAUCUCAAACUUUGAUGAAGACCGGGUAAGCUGAUUUGGUCCAGAAAGGCUCCGUCCGCCGUGACCUUUGUACUUCGCCGUUCAGUUCUCGGAUGCGCGUAAUGUUGAUGUAUCUUCCGGAAGCUGUAUCUUUCUCCCUACUGGUCCGAAUUGGAUGAUUCUAACUGUUCUGGGAUCUUUGUUUUAUUAUCUCCAACUUUGCUGAAGACCCCGCCAACUGAUUCGGACCGGAAGGUUCCCCGGAUUUCUGAUCUUUGAAUUGCGCAGACAAGGACAGAUUUUGGUCGAGAAAAGCUUCCCGCGGUAAGAAAAAUGACCGAGGGCUGUGUACCGCGGUGAGCUUUUUGGUCGUAAAAAUUCUUUCGCCUCGGCCAAAACUCGACCCGCGGUAUUAACGCCUGAUCUUCGACCCAGGCUGACUUUGGUCGAUCGGUACGGACUUUGGUCGGUGCUGAACGAUCGGUAAGCUUUUUGGUCGAGGUUGGACGAUCGGUAAGGAUUUUGGCCGGUAAUGAGCGAUCGGUAAGGAUUUUGACCGAGGUUUCUGUCCGUCCGGUACGCGAUUUGGCCGAGAAAUUCCUCCAAGCGGUUUUCACCAUUUUUGACCGUUUUCUUCACCGUCUUCUUCUCUGCUCCUCUUCUUAAGCUCCAAAUGACUCCCAAAGCACCUGAUAAAGACCUCAAAACAUGCAAAACUCUUUGGGACCUAAUGCAAGCCCUAAAUCCUAUUUUCAUGCCUAAAGACUCAAUUUACAUGGGAAAACACAUGAUGAGGACUCUAAAAUGCACUCUAAAUGAUGUAAAAUAUAGGGAUAUGAGGACGAGCUUGCAUAACUCUCUUUUCUUUUUUUCCCCUUGGUGAAUAUCUCUCCAAGUUCGCCAAGUCCGUAAGGGUGUCUAUUGUCAUCUGUUUCAGCAGACUAAGUCAACAACAAAAACAAAUUCACUAGAAUCAAUCAACUCGUAUU